rnacentral:rRNA from 1 species
GGAUCUGCCGAAUGGNGGGGGACAACAGUUGGAAACGACUGCUAAUACCGCAUAAUGUCGCGAGACCAAAGCAUGGGACCUUAGGGCCNUGCGCCAUUUGAUGAACCCAUAUGGGAUUAGCUAGUAGGUGAGGUAAUGGCUCACCUAGGCGACGAUCUCUAGCUGGUCUGAGAGGAUGACCAGCCACACUGGGACUGAGACACGGCCCAGACUCCUACGGGAGGCAGCAGUGGGGAGUAUUGCACAAUGGGGGAAACCCUGAUGCAGCCAUGCCGCGUGUAUGAAGAAGGCCUUCGGGUUGUAAAGUACUUUCGGUAGCGAGGAAGGGGUUAUAUCUAAUAGGUGUAACCAUUGACGUUAACUACAGAAGAAGCACCGGCUAACUCCGUGCCAGCAGCCGCGGUAAUACGGAGGGUGCGAGCGUUAAUCGGAAUGACUGGGCGUAAAGGGCAUGUAGGCGGAUAGUUAAGUUAGGUGUGAAAGCCCCGGGCUCAACCUGGGAAUUGCAUUUAAAACUGGUUAUCUGGAGUAUUGUAGAGGAANGUAGAAUUCCAUGUGUAGCGGUGAAAUGCGUANAGAUGUGGAGGAAUACCGGUGGC